UACGUAGGGUGCGAGCGUUAAUCGGAAUUACUGGGCGUAAAGCGUGCGCAGGCGGUGAUGUAAGACAGAUGUGAAAUCCCCGGGCUCAACCUGGGACCUGCAUUUGUGACUGCAUCGCUGGAGUGCGGCAGAGGGGGAUGGAAUUCCGCGUGUAGCAGUGAAAUGCGUAGAGAUGUGGAGGAACACCGAUGGCGAAGGCAGCCCCCUGGGUCAAGAUUGACGCUCAUGCACGAAAGCGUGGGGAGCAAACAGG
rnacentral:rRNA from 1 species